rnacentral:lncRNA from 1 species
GAAUUGAUUCUAUUUCACAUAAUACUUUGACAGCAAAACAAUAUAUUUCAUACAUCAUCAUGUAUUUCUAUGUCUUCAAUAAGUAAUUUGAAACUACAUACUGUAAAUUUAGAAAUUAUAGCAAGGUUUUCAAUAGUGUAAAUAAUGCUUCUCCUUAACUAUUGCAAAAUAAAGAAAUCACAUUCUGAUAUCUGAUACACAUA